rnacentral:rRNA from 1 species
UGGGGAAUUUUGGACAAUGGGCGCAAGCCUGAUCCAGCCAUUCCGCGUGCAGGAUGAAGGCCCUCGGGUUGUAAACUGCUUUUGUACGGAACGAAACGUCUCGGGUUAAUACCCUGGGGUAAUGACGGUACCGUAAGAAUAAGCACCGGCUAACUACGUGCCAGCAGCCGCGGUAAUACGUAGGGUGCAAGCGUUAAUCGGAAUUACUGGGCGUAAAGCGUGCGCAGGCGGUUGUGUAAGACAGGUGUGAAAUCCCCGGGCUUAACCUGGGAACUGCACUUGUGACUGCACGGCUGGAGUGCGGCAGAGGGGGAUGGAAUUCCGCGUGUAGCAGUGAAAUGCGUAGAUAUGCGGAGGAACACCGAUGGCGAAGGCAAUCCCCUGGGCCUGCACUGACGCUCAUGCACGAAAGCGUGGGGAGCAAACAGG